rnacentral:tRNA from 2 species
CAGAGAAUAGUUUAAUAAAAAUGUUGGCUUUGGGCGUCAAUGAUGGGAGUUUAAAUCUCUCUUUUCUGG